UGAAAUUUAUACGAGUACAGUCCAAGACAAAAGAACAACGAAAAGUAAAGAAUGACUGCGUUUAGCAGAAAUCAGCGCUCAGCAAUUGCUAAGCGUAUAUAUACGGUAUAUACGGUACCGUAUAUAUAUGGUAUAUACGGUACCAAUUUUAUGACACAAGGGAUUUAUUGAUAAAAAAUUUAAGUACCUGCCAGAAUAUGUUGGCUUGUGAUACCAGUCACAAGUUACAACAUUAUUUGUUAUAUUUAGGCGUAAGUCUACAAAACUGAUACCGUCAUUACCUGGGAGUUUGCACGUAAAUUGUAAUCUAGGGUGGUAUGAAUUAAAUUUAUGGACUAUGCUGUUUACUUCGUUAUUCGGGAUUGCUAUUACACUUUUUAAUGCUAAGUCGAUUGGUACGUUUGUGAAUAACGAUAUUACAUCUAGUGAGCACAGCAAAAAAUCCUCUUUCAUUUUAAGUCCAGAUAAAAUGUGCAAUUGAAAACUGUUUUCAACAAAAAAUGGAGGUAGUAAAGGAAGUAAAAUUAGGUACUCCAUAGGCUCUAGGUAAUAAUGCGUCACUAGAACUCAAAAAUGUUUUUGUGUCAAUGCUGAUGAAUUCUUUGAUAUGCCAUCUUUUUAGUAACGAAAAUCUGUCACCAAACUGUAAAAACUCUGAAACUUCAUUUGGAAUUGAUUUUUCAGUAAGGUUAAUAAACCAUUUAUCAUUGAGAACAAAUUUGUUGACAGGUGUCUGUUUAAAUUGUUGCGCGGUGAUUUUAAUCUCAUCAGAUUCACCAAUGUUGAAUUUUUUUAAACUGAAUUCAUAAUGUGGAUGAUAAUUUAUUUUGUUGCUAGGGUUUAUUGUAUUGUAAUGUGAAUUAGCGUUUUUAUAUUUAACAUAAUAUUUGAUUGGUUCAAUAUUGUUGAGAUUGUUGUUUUUUAAAGUUAUGAAUUAUAGCGUUUUUAUAUUUAACAUAAUAUUUGAUUGGUUCAAUAUUGUUGAGAUUGUUGUUUUUUAAAGUUAUGAUUUAGCGUUUUUAUAUUUAACAUAAGCUAACUAUGCUGUUAUAUUUAAAGCCUAUUCUACAUUGAUCGCAAGCGCAAACGCAAGGAACAGGUCUGGUAGAAUUGACUAAUCGUAUUGAUCAA